GACGAACGCUGGCGGCGUGCUUAACACAUGCAAGUCGAGCGGGGAUUGAGGAUGUCUUCGGACGGAAUCAAUUCUAGCGGCGGACGGGUGAGUAACGCGUGAGCAAUCUGUCCCAUACAGGGGGAUAACAGAUGGAAACAUCUGCUAAUACCGCAUAAGACCACGAUAUCGCAUGGUAUUGAGGUAAAAGAAUUAUCGGUAUGGGGUGAGCUCGCGUCUGAUUAGCUAGUUGGUGAGGUAACGGCCCACCAAGGCGACGAUCAGUAGCCGACCUGAGAGGGUGAUCGGCCACAUUGGAACUGAGACACGGUCCAGACUCCUACGGGAGGCAGCAGUGGGGAAUAUUGGGCAAUGGGCGCAAGCCUGACCCAGCAACGCCGCGUGAAGGAAGAAGGUUUUCGGAUUGUAAACUUCUGUCCUAAGUGACGAAAAAAAGUGACGGUAGCUUAGGAGGAAGCCCCGGCUAACUAACGUG
rnacentral:rRNA from 1 species